GGGUGCUUAGCUCAGCUGGUAGAGCGGCGCCCUUACAAGGCGUAGGUCGGGGGUUCGAGCCCCUCAGCACCCACCA
rnacentral:tRNA from 35 species